rnacentral:rRNA from 1 species
AGGGAAUCUUCCGCAAUGGGCGAAAGCCUGACGGAGCAACGCCGCGUGAGUGAUGAAGGUCUUCGGAUCGUAAAACUCUGUUAUUAGGGAAGAACAUAUGUGUAAGUAACUGUGCACAUCUUGACGGUACCUAAUCAGAAAGCCACGGCUAACUACGUGCCAGCAGCCGCGGUAAUACGUAGGUGGCAAGCGUUAUCCGGAAUUAUUGGGCGUAAAGCGCGCGUAGGCGGUUUUUUAAGUCUGAUGUGAAAGCCCACGGCUCAACCGUGGAGGGUCAUUGGAAACUGGAAAACUUGAGUGCAGAAGAGGAAAGUGGAAUUCCAUGUGUAGCGGUGAAAUGCGCAGAGAUAUGGAGGAACACCAGUGGCGAAGGCGACUUUCUGGUCUGUAACUGACGCUGAUGUGCGAAAGCGUGGGGAUCAAACAGGAUUAGAUACCCUGGUAGUCCACACCGUAAACGAUGAGUGCUAAGUGUUAGGGGGUUUCCGCCCCUUAGUGCUGCAGCUAACGCAUUAAGCACUCCGCCUGGGGAGUACGACCGCAAGGUUG